UACGAAGGGGGCUAGCGUUGCUCGGAUUGAUUGGGCGUAAAGCGUCUGUAGGUGGCUUUUUAAGUCCGCCGUCAAAUCCCAGGGCUCAACUCUGGACAGGCGGUGGAGCGGUGAAAUGCGUAGAUAUCGCUUGGAACGCCAAAGGUGAAGACAGGCAACUGGAGAUGCGCCGACGCUGAGACGCGAAAGCCAGGGGAGCGAACGGG
rnacentral:rRNA from 1 species